rnacentral:rRNA from 1 species
UACGUAGGGUGCAAGCGUUAAUCGGAAUUACUGGGCGUAAAGCGUGCGCAGGCGGUUUUGUAAGUCUGUCGUGAAAUCCCCGGGCUUAACCUGGGAAUGGCGAUGGAGACUGCAAGGCUAGAAUCUGGCAGAGGGGGGUAGAAUUCCACGUGUAGCAGUGAAAUGCGUAGAGAUGUGGAGGAAUACCGAUGGCGAAGGCAGCCCCCUGGGAUAACACUGACGCUCAUGUACGAAAGCGUGGGUAGCAAACAGG